GAAGGGAGAAAACUGCUCCAUGUCCCUGAUGUAAUGUGGUUGCCUAGACAAAAGCUGGAUGGGAUGUUGUCCAGCAGAAAGAAGUCAAAGGAGCCAAGUGCAAGUCCAACCAAAAUGUGAAAAUGAACAACAAUUCCUCAUGAAGCCAAUUUGGAGCUGGCAAGAUGGCUCACUGGGUGAAAGUGUUUGCCCUGAAAAACUGCCAAGCAGAGUUCCCUCCUCAGCAUCUACACAAAGGGGUUGGCAAACUACCGUCCUUCAGUCACGUGCGACCAUAGUAUUCAUGUGAGUUCCCUGCAAUUAUUCUCACGGGAAGACUUUUGGGAGACUGGCCCAAAGAGCUGAUGCUUCCGAUGAGCCCCAAAAGCUCACACUUUACGGAAAAUGUCUGUGGAUUUACAUUCUUACAUUCAUCACCCCACUGUCACAUCUAUUUCCUGAAAGCGUCGCAAAUCAAAACACCUUCCUGUAUCCAGCGGAAGCACUACGCAUAAUUCCCAAGACUACAUUUCCUCACAGUCAAGCCCAUUCAUUCUGCCGCCUCCUCCUAGAUCUUUCUGGAUACACUUGCUGAGUCCUCUAGUACUCACGCCUAAGAACAUACAUGCUCCUAGUCGCCAUCGAAAUAAGGUUCCAAAGUUCCCAUCCAAGACCAUUAAUUCAGACUUAGCCACACUUCUUCCUGCCUUUGGCCCCAUCCAGUCCAUGUCCACACUUCUACAUACACCUGAAGUUUCUGCCACUACCACGCUGGCUCCUGAAACUCUGCCUGGCUCUAGCCUAGUCUGGCUCCAUUUCUACCGGAGGGUUGUCUUUUCCCACUCCAUAACUCUCUCUUCAAUCAGCCCGUAGAUUAUGGUUCAGCCACUACUACCCAGGACUCAAGGAUUUACUCACUCAACAGCCGUUUCCUACUAGAUUUUCAGUUCAUUUUAGAGAUUUCAGUGGUAACAAAAAUAAAGUAAGACAACAAAGACCCAACAUGUCAGCAAGGACUCGGGUAUGAAGAGCUCAUUUUAGGAUGCUCCUCCUGAAUGUGGAUGGCAGCUUAUAUUACAUCACAACAGGGGACCACCUGUACGCCAGUCAGAACCCUUCUCUCCAUGCACACAGCAAUAAAGUUUCCGUCAGACUCAACUGUGUUCAAGAUACUUAACAUUUUUUGCUUUUAUCUACUCAAAGAGUUAAUUAGUCUCUUUUGGAAGGCAUCAUAUAUAACAGCAGUGGGGUAUUAGAAGAAUUACAAGAUAUCAAUGAGGCAUAAUGUACACUCUGCUUUUGCAAGUGCUAACACCUUGUUUAUUUGCCAUAUCUGCACAUUACAGUUCCCAGAACUAAUCACUACUUGCUCAGCAGACUCCGACAUGAGAUGACAAACUUUGAGUCAUCAGGUCUUUAACAGGCUGCACACUUAAGAAUUAACAUCCGGACUUCCAACAAAAUAAAAAAGCCUUGCUGUAGAAUCCCUAGCAAGGCAGUCUGGAGGUUUCCUCCCCUGCCGCUGCUCCCUUUUGCUUUGUUGCUCUGUUUUCUCUUUGGUGUUCUUGCCAUACGCCACCAAAAUGUGCCUGUUCCAGCUGCAGAGUCAGACCUGUCGCCCUGGAGGGCAGCAACUGCUAGGCUGGGCUACUGAGAAAUGAGCCUGAUUUAAAAAUCCAGCCCCAGUUCUGACCUCUGGCUCUCUUCAAAGCCAUUACCAUCAACAAUGAGUAUCCCAGCCUGGUCUUUAUAGUCUCUUAAAGCCAUGCCAGAGCCUUAGCCUUCCACCCUAGCCCACCAAUUAAUCACUCUUGAUCGAGAACUUUCACUUUUAACUGACUUUCAAACACAAAUUAAAGUACUGGAAAUUAAUAGCUGGAACAAGAUGAAAAAGAAUUUGCUUCAAAUUCAGUUUUAGUCAUUAUAGAUCAAGAAGUACUAAACAUCAGACUUAGAGGUGUGUGCUUGGGGAGGGUUCUUUUCCAUGGGCAAGUACAGCAUAUGUAAGAGAUAAUAGCCCAAACCCCAAGUGUGUUGUGAACAUACAAAUGUGGGCACCUAUUUCCUAAAUAAAUGUUAGCUAGCAUGACACAUGUAACAAUGGCAAGGCCAACCAGGCACAGCAGAGUUAAAUACCUGCUACUGUCAACCACAGCGUAAAUGUGUUAGAAGCCAUGCUUUUUGCUGCCAAAUUCUGAAGCCUCUGUCUUUGAAAAGCUCUAAGCAGUGCAUUCACAGAGAAGGCAGGUGGCAUAAAGAGGUUGGUGAGGUUAGAUGUUUCUGUGAAUCCGUUUUAGAAAGAUCUGAAACUCUAGACAGCAGUGUGCAUGCACUUGAAUGUGCAAAUACAGGAACAAGUCAUCCUGCACUGGAAAAUCAAAGCCAUGUACAGAACACCAACAUCCAGGCCAGGGCUAGUUUUUAAAUAUAUAGUUAGCCUUUUGGCUUCUCUCUGUGGAAAAGCUAGGGUGCUAAGAACAACACUGAAGAUUUAUCGUCACGCUCAGAUUUCCCUGCUAUCCACUUGUCUGUGGACUCUCAGAGAGCCUUACUAUCGAAUGAUCACUCACUGCAGCAGACUCUUCUCACCAGCCGCCAUGUUUACCAGCUAACCCUGAAGCAGAUCCAUGGGAGAACCAAGGAAGCACUAUCAGUAUUAGGAACACUGAUGGAUGCCAUCUUUAGCAUGGUAAGACAUGGAAUCUUAGGCAGCAGUGAGAGCUGCUAGUAACAAAAUGGAAGUAUAUUCACUUAUCACAACCAAAUCCAAGGAAACAGUAUUUGUCAACAGACUGGUGUACCCUAGUUUUAUCGGACAGGCUGUCCCUGGCCCAACCAUACCUUCAUACUAGUUGUCCAUCUAAAUAAUGCAGAUCAUAAAACUAGAGUGGAGUCCUUUCCAUCUUCAGUCUAGGUCCCGGUACUGACAGCUUUUCAGGCUUUGUCCUUUCCUACACCUCCAACAGGAAGAACCAUAAAAUGGGUGUUACAUCUUCAUCAGCUUAUGCUUUCUGUUUUGGAAUACAAAGCUUGGGUACUAGAAGUAUUGCCCAAAGUCUCUGAAAUUUUUUUUUUCAUUUAUAAAUAUCACAUUCCCCUAUUCCUCUGCCCAACAACCUUCACUCCCUGUUUCUAUAAGGCUACCCAAGUUUCCUUUGCAUAAAACAAUUUCAUGUGAAAUAUUACAUUACGAUGUGGAAUUACCCUCUGUAUG